ACUUCGAGGACAACCACUUAAUCUUCUCUCUAUCAAUGCCGCCGUGAGAUAUAGCUUCACCUUCCACAUGGUUUCUUUUUCCAAAUCUGAGAUCCAUUCCCCCUUUUUUCCAUGGUUUCUUUUUCCAGAUCUAACAUGGUGACUUUGUCCUCUUCUUCUCUUUGCACCGACCUCCUCCCCCUACACUUUGUCCCAGUUGGUAAAAAAAGGGAAAAUAUGACAAAGAUGAAGAUCCGAAACGAGAACAAGCUACGGAAACUAGAACCACCUCUGCCUCCUCUCGUGGCAAUCGUCAUUGGAUCUUGAACUUAGCAUCGAAGAACAUUGCUUUGGUAACUAUGGAGAGCAUAGUCAGAUCCAAGAAUUUGAAGAAUUUGUGUUAAAAAGGUGGGCUAGUAAUGGUCUUCAGCCUGAAUCCUAGGACAAAUCUGGG
rnacentral:lncRNA from 1 species